rnacentral:tRNA from 1 species
GCUACUGUGGCUCAGCUGGUAGAGCAGCUGAUUCGUAAUCAGCAGGUCGCCGGUUCGAAUCCGGCCAGUAGCU